rnacentral:rRNA from 1 species
AGCAGCCGCGGUAAUUCCAGCUCCAAUAGCGUAUAUUAAAGUUGUUGCAGUUAAAAGCUCGUAGUUGAAUUUCGGGGUCAGUAAGUUGGUCGUGCCACUGGUAUGUACUGGCUUUACUGAUUCCUCCUUCUUGUAGAACCGUAAUGCCAUUAAGUUGGUGUUGCGGGAAAACAGGACUGUUACUUUGAAAAAAUUAGAGUGUUUAAAGCAAGCUAACGCUUGAAUACAUUAGCAUGGAAUAAUGAAAUAGGACGAACGAUCCUAUUUUGUUGGUUUCUAGGAUUGACGUAAUGAUUAAUAGGGAUAGUUGGGGGCAUUAGUAUUCAAUUGUCAGAGGUGAAAUUCUUGGAUUUAUUGAAGACUAACUACUGCGAAAGCAUUUGCCAAGGAUGUUUUUAUUAAUCAAGAACGAAAGUUAGGGGAUCGAAGACGAUCAGAUACCGUCGUAGUCUUAACCAUAAACUAUGCCGACUAGGGAUCGGAUGAUGUUAAUUUUUUAAUGACUCAUUCGGCGCCUUAC